GACGAACGCUGGCGGCGUGCUUAACACAUGCAAGUCGAACGGAAAGGCCCUGCUUUUGUGGGGUGCUCGAGUGGCGAACGGGUGAGUAACACGUGAGUAACCUGCCCUUGACUUUGGGAUAACUUCAGGAAACUGGGGCUAAUACCGGAUAGGAGCUCCUGCUGCAUGGUGGGGGUUGGAAAGUUUCGGCGGUUGGGGAUGGACUCGCGGCUUAUCAGCUUGUUGGUGGGGUAGUGGCUUACCAAGGCUUUGACGGGUAGCCGGCCUGAGAGGGUGACCGGCCACAUUGGGACUGAGAUACGGCCCAGACGCCUACGGGAGGGAGCAGUGGGGAAUAGUGCACAAUGGGCGGAAGCCUGAUGCAGCAACGCCGCGUGCGGGAUGACGGCCUUCGGGUUGUAAACCGCUUUCGCCUGUGACGAAGCGUGAGUGACGGUAAUGGGUAAAGAAGCACCGGCUAACUACGUG
rnacentral:rRNA from 1 species